UCUGGAUGAACGCUGGCGGCGUGCCUAACACAUGCAAGUCGAGCGAUCUUCUUCGGAAGAGAGCGGCGGACGGGUGAGUAACGCGUGGGUAACCUGCCCUGUACACACGGAUAACAUACCGAAAGGUAUGCUAAUACGGGAUAACAUAAGAAAUUCGCAUGUUUUUCUUAUCAAAGCUCCGGCGGUACAGGAUGGACCCGCGUCUGAUUAGCUAGUUGGUGAGGUAACGGCUCACCAAGGCGACGAUCAGUAGCCGACCUGAGAGGGUGAUCGGCCACAUUGGAACUGAGACACGGUCCAAACUCCUACGGGAGGCAGCAGUGGGGAAUAUUGCACAAUGGGCGAAAGCCUGAUGCAGCAACGCCGCGUGAGCGAUGAAGGCCUUCGGGUCGUAAAGCUCUGUCCUCAAGGAAGAUAAUGACGGUACUUGAGGAGGAAGCCCCGGCUAACUACGUGCCAGCAGCCGCGGUAAUACGUAGGGGGCUAGCGUUAUCCGGAUUUACUGGGCGUAAAGGGUGCGUAGGCGGUCUUUUAAGUCAGGAGUGAAAGGCUACGGCUCAACCGUAGUAAGCUCUUGAAACUGGAGGACUUGAGUGCAGGAGAGGAGAGUGGAAUUCCUAGUGUAGCGGUGAAAUGCGUAGAUAUUAGGAGGAACACCAGUAGCGAAGGCGGCUCUCUGGACUGUAACUGACGCUGAGGCACGAAAGCGUGGGGAGCAAACAGGAUUAGAUACCCUGGUAGUCCACGCCGUAAACGAUGAGUACUAGCUGUCGGAGGUUACCCCCUUCGGUGGCGCAGCUAACGCAUUAAGUACUCCGCCUGGGGAGUACGCUCGCAAGAGUGAAACUCAAAGGA
rnacentral:rRNA from 1 species